AUGACUCGUGGAAGCAUAAUAAUAUACUCGCACUGUAUUAAGAUUUUUCGAGAUCUUACUCGUUCUUUUAUUUACUAUUUGGUUCAUUUCUUUCAGGUUGCAGCAAAGAAGCCUCAACAAUCGUUCCAGAUUCUUCAUCAGGAUAAAUCCAGAGCACAGCAAGUGCAAUUCGAAGGUCCAGGUAAGCAGAAGAACUGGGAAGGUGGUCCAAAGAAAAAACGAGUCCCUCAAUCCACACGUGGCAUUGUUCAUAAGGGACUUCAUUGAGUAUGACUGGAAGAACAACUAAUACCAGGUGAGACUGUUAAUUGUUACCUUGAAUACUCUGGGUUACUGUCGUUCUAAAUCACACUUUUAACCCCAGGUAAAGGAACAUUUAAAAAAUUGUAAUUUAGAAAUGGGGUUAUCAGCGCUUUUUACCAGGGGCUCAAAACAGUUCAAAUACACAAAUAAUUACAUUAUUUGUGUAUUUAUGAACUAUGCUUACCUGUAAAUAUUGUAUGGUCCAGAGCUUUAAAAUGACUUCUGGAAGCAAGUUUGGGUGGGUAGUUGGUGGUCGCAGCUUGUCUAUUAAAAUACAAAUGUGGGGCGCCAAGCAUAAUUUAAAAGUCAUGCCGUUUCACAGCUUCAGCACUAGGUGAUAAGACUAGCGCUGACAUUCUCAACCACACUGAACUGUGUGUGACAACAUCCUGUUAGAAAAUCUUUUCCAUUCGCAAAUCACAAACAUUUACCAUAAAUUUUAAACAUGUAAACACAGUAUUGUGGCAGAAAAUUUUAUAUUAAUAUAGAUAGUUAUUAAAUAUUAGAGUAAUGACAUUCAUGGCAAAUGUAAGAAACCAAUACUGUUUAAUAAGAGUAGAGCUGCAACUCCGUAAGAAUAUUAGAAUUUUAUCCUUUAAAAAUGAGGUUGUAAAUCUUACAGAUGUUACGGUUUGUAUUAAUAAAAAUAAAUUUACAUUCUGUGUCUUAAUAAAAGCUAUAAAAAAAUAAAUAAAUCGCCCCCCGGGGAUGCUACUCCACAAACCACCAACAGAGCAUAUAAAAUAUCAAAAAUACAAAUAUUUAUUUAAAAGACUGUUUGUUAAGCUGUUUCAUGACUAACGCCACUCUCUCUGGGUCAGCGGCAGCGCCAACACAGAUUUGAAUGUUGCGAUAUGAUUUUGUCAAAGUUUAAUAGACAGACAAAUUGAAAGGUUCUGGAAUAAUUAAAAAAAAACGAUUUUUGAAUCUACUUGAUAGCUAGGUGAAUCGAUUUUUCUCUCCAAGCCCUAAUAUAUAUGUAAAUGUGUGUUUUAAGUAAGAGUUUUGGUUUAUAGAGAAGUGGACAUUGUAUUACAUAUUGAUUGGCUAAAUCAAAUGAUCCAAUCAAACUUUUAUAUAUAUAUUGUCAUCAACCCAUCUGUCUUGCUUAUAAACUUUUCCAUUAAUAAUUAAUUUCUUCCACUGCAGGGUGGAAGACUCCAGCCCAUGAAAUUGACUAGUUCAGGCCCGUUUUUGAAGAAAAAUACAGUUCUGGGAGAAAAACAACGUUCAGGGACCAAAUUCUACUAUUAAAUCAUUUAAUUUGUCUUUUAUACAUUCUAAUUUUAACCGAACAUUUUAAUACAUUUGAACAGGAUUGAUUUGUAUGUUCAGUAAAAGGAACAGGAUUGAUUUGUAUGUUCAGAAAGUGUUGUUGUAUACAAAACGAAAUGAAAUGUUAACAGAAAAAUGUUUACCUAUUGAAAAAAAUGUUUUUGCUAUGCUAUUUUUAUUUUAUGAAUUUAGAAAUUUAAAGUGUGAAAAGUUGUCAAUAAAGGGCAUUUUUGUGACAAAAACAGUGUCUUCAUUUUACAGUACACAAAAUUAAUGCAGUAAUCCCUAUUACAGUAGUAUAAUAUGUGAGGUGAUGAAACACAGUACUGUGAUUAUUACUGUAAAAAAGUUUACAGUAUUUUUAAAGUUACUGCAAUUAAGUUUACAGUAAGCAUACUGUGAAAUGAACUACAGCAACUUACUUGCUAAUUGCUGCCAGCAAGUUACUGUAAAUUUCACAGUAUUCUAUUUACAGUGUAGGUUUAAACUUUGCAAGUGUGCUGGGAAAACAAGCUACUGUGAAUAUGAACCUCUGUUCAGAUCAUAAAAGCUAAAUAUAGAGUUCUUUGUUUGAAGCUGCAGUGGAUAAAACAUAAAUGAUCGCCAUAAAUAGUAUAUUACUAAAACAGCAUGUCUGUCUGCCUAUCAUUCUCACUGAUCUAUGGAAAACAGACAUCAAAGUCAUACCAGGAACUUUGGUAAGGAGGUUAAAGAUAGAUAUGAGAUAAAAAAAAAAAAAAAAUGAAUUCUUCUUUCUUCCCUCAGCAUCACUGCUAAAGAGAGUCAUUAGAAUGUGUAAUGGUGGGAACACAGCGGAUGAAAGAGCGCAAGCCUGCUCCAAAAUAGUGUGUGUUUGUGUGU
rnacentral:lncRNA from 1 species